GUACUUUUCUUCUCUUCCUGAAGAGAAAUAUCUAGAAGAAGUGAUUGGCCACCUUUGCAAAUGUGCCUUGGACCAGCCAUGGGUGUCUGAGAUGUAUCCUACUCAAUAAGGCUCUUUGACAAUGGCAGGAUCUGGGGACUGACACAGAAGGCUAUUCCCUGAAGCAAAAUGGAUUGAUCCAGAUGCAGAAAGCAAAACAGAUCAUCAUGAUGGAGACAUGGGUGUCGGCUGGAGGUAACCACAGAAUGUGGCUCUGAGGCUGUCUUCACUGAGAACACUAUGUGUCCGAGAGUGACCGCCAACCAUUCUUUCCUGGAGUGACCAGUCAUCCAGGGUACUGUCUCUUAUAUGUGACA